rnacentral:rRNA from 1 species
ACUCCUGCGGGAGGCAGCAGUGGGGAAUUUUGGACAAUGGGCGAAAGCCUGAUCCAGCAAUGCCGCGUGAGUGAAGAAGGCCUUCGGGUUGUAAAGCUCUUUUGUCAGGGAAGAAACGGUGAGAGCUAAUAUCUCUUGCUAAUGACGGUACCUGAAGAAUAAGCACCGGCUAACUACGUGCCAGCAGCCGCGGUAAUACGUAGGGUGCAAGCGUUAAUCGGAAUUACUGGGCGUAAAGCGUGCGCAGGCGGUUUUGUAAGUCUGAUGUGAAAUCCCCGGGCUCAACCUGGGAAUUGCAUUGGAGACUGCAAGGCUAGAAUCUGGCAGAGGGGGGUAGAAUUCCACGUGUAGCAGUGAAAUGCGUAGAUAUGUGGAGGAACACCGAUGGCGAAGGCAGCCCCCUGGGUCAAGAUUGACGCUCAUGCACGAAAGCGUGGGGAGCAAACAGGAUUAGAAACCCGUGUAGUCCCAUG